UGGCUGAGAGGUAAAGCGCUUGGAUUCUGAACAAGAAUUCCCGGGUUCGAAUCCUGU
rfam:Biomphalaria glabrata isolate BB02 unplaced genomic scaffold LGTN_random_Scaffold2135, whole genome shotgun sequence.